UACGUAGGGGGCAAGCGUUGUCCGGAUUUAUUGGGCGUAAAGAGCGUGUAGGCGGCCUGACAGGUCAGCUGUGAAAACUCGAGGCUCAACCUCGAGACGUCGGUUGAAACCAUCUGGCUAGAGUCCGGAAGAGGAGUGUGGAAUUCCCGGUGUAGCGGUGAAAUGCGCAGAUAUCGGGAAGAACACCCGUGGCGAAGGCGGCUCUCUGGGACGGUACUGACGCUGAGACGCGAAAGCGUGGGGAGCGAACAGG
rnacentral:rRNA from 1 species